GAGACAGAGGGGAGCAGAGCCCCUGGGAGAGCAGCUGGGUCCCGCCUUGACUGAGACAAGCCCUGCCCCUACACCUUGCUGCUGUCUGGGCCAAAGCAGUACCCCCGUUGUGCUAAAACUCUUACAGUGGCAUCGCAGACCUGGCCCUCAGUAAGCAGAGCGGACGGGACCACCUCUCCUUAGAGCUCUCCCAUCUCAACUCCCUGGUACGUGGGAGGGAUGGGAGGUGGCCCACAGAGCAACAACACGUUUGUAAGAAAGAAAAGACAAGAUCUCCACCUCCACAAAGGGACACGCGAUGCUUCGUCCGGGUUUGGGGAGAUGACGGGCCCCCAGAACCUAGGACCCCAAGAGCCAAGUGUUAGAAUUCUUCCGCCCCUCCCCCCUCGCACUCCACCCUGGGCAGAGCUGGAGAGUUCUACAUGGGUGGGUUCUCGCUUCCUCAUCACUGGUGAGGUGCUACACCCUCCGGGAGCAGACACCCCCACCGCUUCCCUGUUGUGGACGAGGAAACGGAUGCUGACCCUGCUGAUCCCAGCAAGAGAUGGAUCUGUAACUCACCCCACCAACAACAAGGGGAGGUGACCACGAUGGACCUGGGGAGACGCCCUCCCGCCUCUCUGCCCCUGCAACGACCCUGGCGGGCACCACAGUGAAGCCAGAGCGGCCCAGAACGUCACACACUAGAACACGCUCAGAGGACCACCGGCUGGCAAACAGUGCCAUUCAGAUCACGAUGACAACCACUCAACCGACAGUGAAAAACACACCUGGAAGAAGACGGGGGAAAC